rnacentral:lncRNA from 1 species
GACCAAGUACCCCAUCCAGCUCCUCCCAUCACCCAGCCCAAGUACCCCAUCCAGCUCCUCCCAUCACCCAGACCAAGUACCCCAUCCAGCUCCUCCCAUCACCCAGACCAAGUACCCCAUCCAGCUCCUCCCAUCACCCAGACCAAGUACCCCAUCCAUCUCCUCCCAUCACCCAGACCAAGUACCCCAUCCAUCUCCUCCCAUCACCCAGACCAAGUACCCCAUCCAUCUCCUCCCAUCACCCAGACCAAGUACCCCAUCCAUCUCCUCCCAUCACCCAGCCCAAGUACCCCAUCCAGCUCCUCCCAUCACCCAGCCCAAGUACCCCAUCCAUCUCCUCCCAUCACCCAGCCCAAGUACCCCAUCCAGCUCCUCCCAUCACCCAGCCCAAGUACCCCAUCCAGCU